rnacentral:rRNA from 1 species
ACUCCUACGGGAGGCAGCAGUGGGGAAUCUUGCGCAAUGGGUGAAAGCCUGACACAGCCAUGCCGCGUGAAUGAUAAAGGUCCUAGGAUUGUAAAAUUCUUUCACCGGGGACGAUAAUGACGGUACCGGGAGAAGAAGAGCCGGCUAACUUCGUGCCAGCAGCCGCGGUAAU